GAUGAGUCCUGUGCCUAUUAUUGCAGAGCUGGGAAUGUGAUUGGAGAUCAGGAUUCUGAACCCAAACGCUUUAAGGUUCAGUCUCAGCUAUCCAAGGCAUCAGCCAUUUCAAUGGCUUUGAAAGGGGCUCUGUUUCUUUUCACCUCAGUGGCUCUGAUUUGUUUCCUUAAGAAUCGCAGAAAUACCAGAAAUCCAGCAGAAAAAGCAGAAAGGCCUGUGUCAGAGCAUUUGUAUGAAAUGGUCUUGAUCAGCAGCGGGGGAAAUAGGUGGAAGAACUAAUGAAAGCUCCACAAUAACUCAGGAACAAAGAACGAGCGUAUAA